rnacentral:rRNA from 1 species
GACGAACGCUGGCGGCGUGCUUAACACAUGCAAGUCGAACGGAAAGGCCCUGCUUUUGUGGGGUGCUCGAGUGGCGAACGGGUGAGUAACACGUGAGUAACCUGCCCUUGACUUUGGGAUAACUUCAGGAAACUGGUGCUAAUACCGGAUAGGAGCUCCUGCUGCAUGGUGGGGGUUGGAAAGUUUCGGCGGUUGGGGAUGGACUCGCGGCUUAUCAGCUUGUUGGUGGGGUAGUGGCUUACCAAGGCUUUGACGGGUAGCCGGCCUGAGGGGGUGACCGGCCACAUUGGGACUGAGAUACGGCCCCGACUCCUACGGGAGGCAGCAGUGGGGAAUAUUGCACAAUGGGCGGAAGCCUGAUGCAGCAACGCCGCGUGCGGGAUGACGGCCUUCGGGUUGUAAACCGCUUUCGCCUGUGACGAAGCGUGAGUGACGGUAAUGGGUAAAGAAGCACCGGCUAACUACGUG